UACGGAGGGGGCUAGCGUUGUUCGGAAUUACUGGGCGUAAAGCGCACGUAGGCGGCUUUGUAAGUUAGAGGUGAAAGCCCGGGGCUCAACUCCGGAAUUGCCUUUAAGACUGCAUCGCUAGAAUUGUGGAGAGGUAAGUGGAAUUCCGAGUGUAGAGGUGAAAUUCGUAGAUAUUCGCAAGAACACCAGUGGCGAAAGGCGGCUCACUGGCCCGAUACUGACGCUGAGGCACGAAAGCGUGGGGAGCAAACAGG
rnacentral:rRNA from 1 species